GAUGAAGAACGCAGCGAAAUGCGAUAAGUAAUGUGAAUUGCAGAAUUCAGUGAAUCAUCGAAUCUUUGAACGCACAUUGCGCCCGCCAGUAUUCUGGCGGGCAUGCCUGUUCGAGCGUCAUUUCCACCAUCAGGCCCCCGGGCCUGUGUUGGGGACCUGCGGCUGCCCGCAGGCCCCGAAAUUCAGUGGCGGUCGCGCCGUAGCAACCGAGCGUAAUAACUAAAACGUCUCGCUCUGGCUCGCUGGGCGCGCUCCGGCCGUAAAACACCCCCCCUUUUCGCAAAGGUUGACCUCGGAUCAGGUAGGAAUACCCGCUGAACUUAAGCAUAUCAAUAAGCGGAGGA
rnacentral:misc_RNA from 1 species